GAGUUUGAUCCUGGCUCAGGACGAACGCUGGCGGUGCGCCUUAUGCAUGCAAGUUGAGCGAAGCUUUUUGGUAGUUUACUACUAGAAAUGACUGAGCGGCGAACGGGUGAGUAACGCGUGAGCAAUCUACCUUAGUUACUGGGAUAGCCCGAGGAAACUCGGAUUAAUACCGGAUAUUCUUAUUUUUUCACAUGAAGUUUUAAGGAAAGGUCAGCCGAACUAGGAUGAGCUCGCGUUCUAUCAGCUAGUUGGUGGGGCAAAAGCCUACCAAGGCUACGACGGAUAGCUGGUCUGAGAGGACGAUCAGCCACACUGGGACUGAGACACGGCCCAGACUCCUACGGGAGGCUGCAGCAGGGAAUAUUGUGCAAUGAGCGAAAGCUUGACACAGCGACACCGCGUGUGGGAUGACGGUUCUAGGAUUGUAAACCACUUUCAGGAGGGAAGAAAAUGACGGUACCUCCACAAGAAGACCCGGCCAACUAUGUGCCAGCAGUCGCGGUAAUACAUAGGGGUCAAGCGUUGUCCGGAUUUAUUGGGCGUAAAGAGCUCGUAGGCGGUUCAACAAGUCGGUCGUAAAAGUUUAGGGCUCAGCCCUAAAAUGUCGAUCGAUACUGUUGUGACUAGGAUACGGUAGAGGUGGAUGGAAUUCCGAGUGUAGCGGUGAAAUGCGUAGAUAUUCGGAGGAACACCAAUUGCGAAGGCAGUUCACUGGACCGUGAUCGACGCUGAGGAGCGAAAGCUAGGGGAGCAAACAGGAUUAGAUACCCUGGUAGUCCUAGCUGUAAACGAUGGAUACUAGAUGUAGGAACUGGAUUGACGGUUUCUGUAUCGUAGCUAACGCGUUAAGUAUCCCGCCUGGGGAGUACGGUCGCAAGACUAAAACUCAAAGGAAUUGACGGGACCCCGCACAAGCGGCGGAGCAUGCGGCUUAAUUCGAUGAUACCCGUAGAACCUUACCUGGACUUGACAUAUAGGGAAAAACUGGAGAAAUCCAGUGUGCGUAAGCGCCCUAUACAGGUGGUGCAUGGCUGUCGUCAGCUCGUGCCGUGAGAUGUUGGGUUAAGUCCCGCAACGAGCGCAACCCCUGUCCUAUAUUGCCAGCAAGUAAUGUUGGGGACUCAUAGGAGACUGCCGGUGAUAAACCGGAGGAAGGUGGGGACGACGUCAAGUCAUCAUGCCCCUUAUGUCCAGGGCUGCACGCAUGCUACAAUGGCAAGUACAACGAGUCGCAAUACCGCGAGGUGGAGCAAAUCUCUUAAAGCUUGUCUCAGUUCGGAUAGGAGUCUGCAACUCGACUCCUUGAAGUUGGAGUCGCUAGUAAUCGCAAAUCAGCAAAGUUGCGGUG
rnacentral:rRNA from 1 species